GCUCAACCGAGGAAGUGCUUCGAAAACUGGUAAACUUGAGUGCAGAAGAGGAAAGUGGAACUCCAUGUGUAGCGGUGGAAUGCGUAGAUAUAUGGAAGAACACCAGUGGCGAAGGCGGCUUUCUGGUCUGUAACUGACGCUGAGAUUCGAAAGCAUGGGUAGCAAACAGGAUUAGAUACCCUGGUAGUCCAUGCCGUAAACGAUGAGUGCUAAGUGUUGGAGGGCUUCCGCCCUUCAGUGCUGCAGCUAACGCAUUAAGCACUCCGCCUGGGGAGUACGAUCGCAAGAUUGAAACUCAAAGGAAUUGACGGGGGCCCGCACAAGCGGUGGAGCAUGUGGUUUAAUUCGAAGCAACGCGAAGAACCUUACCAGGUCUUGACAUACCAUGAAAAGCUAAGAGAUUAGUCUUUCCCUUCGGGGACAUGGAUACAGGUGGUGCAUGGUUGUCGUCAGCUCGUGUCGUGAGAUGUUGGGUUAAGUCCCGCAACGAGCGCAACCCUUAUUAUCAGUUGCCAGCAUUCAGUUGGGCACUCUGGUGAGACUGCCGGUGACAAACCGGAGGAAGGUGGGGACGACGUCAAAUCAUCAUGCCACUUAUGACCUGGGCUACACACGUGCUACAAUGGUCGGUACAACG
rnacentral:rRNA from 1 species